UACGUAGGGUGCGAGCGUUAAUCGGAAUUACUGGGCGUAAAGAGUGCGUAGGCGGUUUCUCAAGUCCGCUGUGAAAUCCCCGGGCUCAACCUGGGAAUGGCAGUGGAAACUAGGAGACUUGAAUCUGGCAGAGGGGGGUGGAAUUCCACGUGUAGCAGUGAAAUGCGUAGAGAUGUGGAGGAACACCGAUGGCGAAGGCAGCCCCCUGGGCUGAGAUUGACGCUCAGGCACGAAAGCGUGGGGAGCAAACA
rnacentral:rRNA from 1 species